rnacentral:lncRNA from 1 species
AUGCCUAAAGAUUGUGGUGGAGAGUAGGCAGUGGUGAGCGGUUAAUGGUGUGGGUGGUUUGAAGGAGAGUGUAGGACGAGGGGAAAUAAAAGAGUGAUGAAAAAUGACAUUUUUGCCCUCACAUGAGGUGCAUGUGACUUCACUUAACGCUGAAAAUAAAUGAGGUUAGUGCCAAAGGACCGAGGGUGUAAUGGUUUUAAGAAAAAAAAGGACUGUGACUGUAAUUAUUGAAGUUAAAGGACAUCCAUUGUAAUCCAAUACAUACAUAAAGGAUAAAAGGUGUAAUUUACCCUAUAAAUAAAUUA